rnacentral:rRNA from 1 species
AGCGAACGCUGGCGGUAGGCCUAACACAUGCAAGUCGAACGGCAGCACAGUAAGAGCUUGCUCUUACGGGUGGCGAGUGGCGGACGGGUGAGGAAUACAUCGGAAUCUACUUUUUCGUGGGGGAUAACGUAGGGAAACUUACGCUAAUACCGCAUACGACCUACGGGUGAAAGCAGGGGAUCUUCGGACCUUGCGCGAUUGAAUGAGCCGAUGUCGGAUUAGCUAGUUGGCGGGGUAAAGGCCCACCAAGGCGACGAUCCGUAGCUGGUCUGAGAGGAUGAUCAGCCACACUGGAACUGAGACACGGUCCAGACUCCUACGGGAGGCAGCAGUGGGGAAUACUGGACAAUGGGCGCAAGCCUGAUCCAGCCAUACCGCGUGGGUGAAGAAGGCCUUCGGGUUGUAAAGCCCUUUUGUUGGGAAAGAAAAGCAGCAGGUUAAUACCCCGCUGUUCUGACGGUACCCAAAGAAUAAGCACCGGCUAACUUCGUG